rnacentral:rRNA from 1 species
UACGUAGGGUGCAAGCGUUAAUCGGAAUUACUGGGCGUAAAGCGUGCGCAGGCGGUUUUGUAAGUCUGACGUGAAAUCCCCGGGCUUAACCUGGGAAUUGCGUUGGAGACUGCAAGGCUGGAAUCUGGCAGAGGGGGGUAGAAUUCCACGUGUAGCAGUGAAAUGCGUAGAGAUGUGGAGGAACACCGAUGGCGAAGGCAGCCCCCUGGGUCAAGAUUGACGCUCAUGCACGAAAGCGUGGGGAGCAAACAGG